UCUGGAGUGGGUUGGAAGGGAAAGGUCAUAAAAGAUUGUCGCAGUCUUUUAUUGCCACAGAAAUCAUUAGCAACUUUAUUUAUUGCCUAGCUGAAAUAUCUAGGCUGUAUAUAUCCAUGUCUGAAUAAUAAAACUAACUCGAGGGGAAAAUAAGAAGUUUGGAGAUGCGGUUGUGAUGUUGCUGUUAAUGGUCUAUAGUGGCAAUAAUCUCUAAAUUCGAAAUUGCGUUGACUCCGUAACUCCAGAUUAUUGUACAGCAGUAGAAAAUAUUUGAAGGUGUACUUCUUCUUUGGCUGCCAGACCUGGCUGACAACAAUCCAGAUGACUACUAGAUGACAGCUAAGAGUUGAAUAUUUUACUCCCUUUUUACUGUUAUUUAUGAUAUUACGGAUUUUUGCACUCUUUAUCUGGUAGCUGUUUGGUACUGUAUUCUCUUCAGAUGUUCUGCAUUUGUUGGAAUAAAACACAGGUCAGAAGUGUAUUACUCAACCAGUUAAUGGCAUGUAUUCGAUACUUUCUUUCCCAAGACCUUUUGCUAUUGUGGCAUUCCAGACAACCGAGUGAAGGAACCAAAGCAAUCAGUUUGGGACACAAACGUCUCGACAGAAGGAGCUCUAUCGGGGUCGUGGUGGCAUCUCCUCUGUCCUCAAGCAGAAAUAAAGUCAGAAGAAAGGAAGACCACAAUUGCUGAUCCCCCAACUCAUUCCCUGGCUUAGUCUCUUCACUGCCGCUGCUGAGGGACUCAAUUUUCAAGAGCAUUUUAGGAUUUUGAGUGUCUGGCUGAUAUGUGUGAAGAUAUAUAUAUACUAUAUGUAUGUAUAUAUCGGCUGACCAACUAGUUUGCCUAAAAGUGAGUAGCAAUUCAGCCACCUCUGCUGGAAGUAGGUAAAGGGGAGAAAGCGGAGAGGAGAGAAUGAAUGAGUAGAUUGGCAGGUCCUCUGGCCCUUCUUCCAUCUCAGCUGGCCAGUACCCUUGCAGUGAUCCCCAGGAGCAUAUUUCAUGUAAUAGGGAUACAGUGUUUGUCUGUGAGGUGUUCAAACAAUGCACUUGUUUGAACACUAACAAAACAGUCUUAUAUUAUAUGUACUCUUCUUCCUUUGAAGCCUUCUCUUAUUUGUCUCCCUCUUAAACUUCACUGUCCUGAUUCCAGAUUUCUAAAUGCAGCUCAUUCAUUCAUUCAUUCAUUCAUUCAUUCAUUCAUUCAUUCAUUCAUUUUCAGUGUGCCAGAAGCUCUAUAAAUUAGUUAAGAGUUUAUUGGAUGCCUCAAAGAACUCUAGGCCAGGGGUGUCAAACUCAAGGCCCGGAGCCGGAUCUGGCCCACGGGGUGCUUAGUUCUGGCCCACAGGGCACCCUGGAAACAGCAAAGGACAGGUCCGCGAUGCUUCUGCCAGUGAAAAGAGAGCUCUCGACCUCCAUUUUCACUGGCAGAGGGUUGCAGGAGGCUGUCGCAGCUGAAAAUGG